rnacentral:rRNA from 1 species
UACGUAGGGGGCAAGCGUUGUCCGGAUUUAUUGGGCGUAAAGAGCGUGUAGGCGGCUUUACAGGUCCGUUGUGAAAACUCGAGGCUCAACCUCGAGACGCCGGUGGAAACCGUAAAGCUAGAGUCCGGAAGAGGAGAGUGGAAUUCCUGGUGUAGCGGUGAAAUGCGCAGAUAUCAGGAGGAACACCGAUGGCGAAGGCAGGUCACUGGGCCGCAACUGACGCUGAGAAGCGAAAGCAUGGGGAGCGAACAGG